AGGAGGUGUCGACUCUGAUGUCCACGGCCAGAAUUUUCUCCACUUCUCAUGCGAUACAUCAUCUGCAUGAGCAACAGCCUUCACACUUAGAUCACCCGAGUCCAAGCCUGACAUGUGCAUUAAAUUAACAGAUCUCCCUGCAUCCCCAUCACCUCACCGAUUGUCGGGGGCGCUUCCUUAGAAGACACCCCCUGCAAAACCCAUUGGGCCCGUCUCUCCUCCUCAUCGAUCUCAGCAACCGCUUCCGUUCUCCUUUUGGGAACUGCUUCAAUCGGGACCCGAGCUUCGGACUGGAUUCUCG